rnacentral:hammerhead_ribozyme from 1 species
AUCCAACUGACGAGUCCCAAAUAGGACGAAACGCGUAUCCUUGGU